GACGAACGCUGGCGGCGUGCUUAACACAUGCAAGUCGAGCGGUAAGGCCCUUUCGGGGGUACACGAGCGGCGAACGGGUGAGUAACACGUGGGUGACCUGCCCUUAGCUCUGGGAUAAGCCUGGGAAACUGGGUCUAAUACCGGAUAUGACUCCAUGACGCAUGUUGUGGGGUGGAAAGCCUUGUGCGGCUAGGGAUGGGCCUGCGGCCUAUCAGCUUGUUGGUGGGGUGAUGGCCUACCAAGGCGACGACGGGUAGCCGGCCUGAGAGGGCGACCGGCCACACUGGGACUGAGACACGGCCCAGACUCCUACGGGAGGCAGCAGUGGGGAAUCUUGCGCAAUGGGCGAAAGCCUGACGCAGCGACGCCGCGUGGGG
rnacentral:rRNA from 1 species